UGGGGAAUCUUGCACAAUGGAGGGACCUCUGAUGCAGCGACGCCGCGUGAACGAAGAAGGCUUUCGAGUCGUAAAGUUCUUUUAUAUGGGAAGAUAAUGACGGUACCAUAAGAAAAAGCACCGGCUAACUACGUGCCAGCAGCCGCGGUAAUACGUAGGGGGCUAGCGUUGUCCGGAAUCACUGGGCGUAAAGGGUUCGCAGGCGGAAAUGCAAGUCAGGUGUAAAAGGCAGUAGCUUAACUACUGUAAGCAUUUGAAACUGCAUAUCUUGAGAAGAGUAGAGGUAAGUGGAAUUUUUAGUGUAGCGGUGAAAUGCGUAGAUAUUAAAAAGAAUACCGGUGGCGAAGGCGACUUACUGGGCUCAUUCUGACGCUGAGGAACGAAAGCGUGGGUAGCAAACAGG
rnacentral:rRNA from 1 species